rnacentral:rRNA from 1 species
AGUGAAUGCUGGCGGUAGGCCUAACACAUGCAAGUCGAACGGCGGCACAGUAAGAGCUUGCUCUUACGGGUGGCGAGUGGCGGACGGGUGAGGAAUACAUCGGAAUCUACUUUUUCGUGGGGGAUAACGUAGGGAAACUUACGCUAAUACCGCAUACGACCUACGGGUGAAAGCAGGGGAUCUUCGGACCUUGCGCGAUUGAAUGAGCCGAUGUCGGAUUAGCUAGUUGGCGGGGUAAAGGCCCACCAAGGCGACGAUCCGUAGCUGGUCUGAGAGGAUGAUCAGCCACACUGGAACUGAGACACGGUCCAGACUCCUACGGGAGGCAGCAGUGGGGAAUAUUGGACAAUGGGCGCAAGCCUGAUCCAGCCAUACCGCGUGGGUGAAGAAGGCCUUCGGGUUGUAAAGCCCUUUUGUUGGGAAAGAAAAGCAGCAGGUUAAUACCCCGCUGUUCUGACGGUACCCAAAGAACAAGCACCGGCUAACUUCGUG